UUGGGCGUAAAGCGAGCGCAGGCGGUUAGAUAAGUCUGAAGUUAAAGGCUGUGGCUUAACCAUAGUACGCUUUGGAAACUGUUUAACUUGAGUGCAAGAGGGGAGAGUGGAAUUCCAUGUGUAGCGGUGAAAUGCGUAGAUAUAUGGAGGAACACCGGUGGCGAAAGCGGCUCUCUGGCUUGUAACUGACGCUGAGGCUCGAAAGCGUGGGGAGCAAACAGGAUUAGAUACCCUGGUAGUCCACGCCGUAAACGAUGAGUGCUAGGUGUUAGACCCUUUCCGGGGUUUAGUGCCGCAGCUAACGCAUUAAGCACUCCGCCUGGGGAGUACGACCGCAAGGUUGAAACUCAAAGGAAUUGACGGGGGCCCGCACAAGCGGUGGAGCAUGUGGUUUAAUUCGAAGCGACGCGAAGAACCUUACCAGGUCUUGACAUCCCUCUGACCGCUCUAGAGAUAGAGUUUUCCUUCGGGACAGAGGUGACAGGUGGUGCAUGGUUGUCGUCAGCUCGUGUCGUGA
rnacentral:rRNA from 1 species